rnacentral:rRNA from 1 species
UACGAAGGGUGCAAGCGUUAAUCGGAAUUACUGGGCGUAAAGCGUGCGCAGGCGGCGGCUCAAGUCAGGUGUGAAAUCCCCGGGCUUAACCUGGGAAUUGCGCUUGAAACUAGGCUGCUUGAGUGUGGCAGAGGGGGGUGGAAUUCCACGUGUAGCAGUGAAAUGCGUAGAGAUGUGGAGGAACACCGAUGGCGAAGGCAGCCCCCUGGGUCAACACUGACGCUCAUGCACGAAAGCGUGGGGAGCAAACAGG